rnacentral:lncRNA from 1 species
CAGGGAGAGGAAACUAAUGAAGACAACAGGGGGAGAUGGAGGAAGCAACCAGAGAUGUUCAAAGACUAGAUCGUGGGUCAGAUGGUAAUGACUCUAACCUAAGGCAGGGAUGAUGGCAGAAAGAUGCCUUCACAGGACAAACUGAGCCUAGUGCUCAACACCCCCACCUGGGGAAAGUGACACCUGCAUGGGAACUUAUCCAUGGGUACCACCAGACCCAAAGGACCUCUAUCUUCAAGUAAACCCUACGCUCCCCAAGCAGACAGUGUCAUUUCAGUGAAUGUCCUAACAGCAAAACAAAUUUCUUCUCCGGGGAAUGGUCUUCAAAAAUUAUUGCCCAGACAGUGAAUAAUUCUUCUCUAGUCAGUGGCUAACAGGGAAAUUAUCUAUGUGCCUCUGGACUUGUUCUUGUAUCACAGUGAAUAAACUGGUCCAACCCAAACUGACACAUCCACAAACUCCCUUUGUGAUCCUAGGUAAGAUUUUAGAUGGCAUUUGUCAAU